GAUGAACGCUAGCUACAGGCUUAACACAUGCAAGUCGAGGGGAAACGAUAGAGAAAGCUUGCUUUUUCUAGGCGUCGACCGGCGCACGGGUGAGUAACGCGUAUCCAACCUGCCCAUCACUUGGGGAUAACCUUGCGAAAGUCAGACUAAUACCCAAUGACGUCUCUAGAAGACACCUGAAAGAGAUUAAAGAUUUAUCGGUGAUGGAUGGGGAUGCGUCUGAUUAGCUUGUUGGCGGGGUAACGGCCCACCAAGGCGACGAUAAGUAGGGGUUCUGAGAGGAAGGUCCCCCACAUUGGAACUGAGACACGGUCCAAACUCCUACAGGAGGCAGCAGUGAGGAAUAUUGGUCAAUGGACGAGAGUCUGAACCAGCCAAGUAGCGUGCAGGAUGACGGCCCUAUGGGUUGUAAACUGCUUUUAUAAGGGAAUAAAGUGAGUCUCGUGAGACUUUUUGCAUGUACCUUAUGAAUAAGGACCGGCUAAUUCCGUGCCAGCCGCCGCAGUAA
rnacentral:rRNA from 1 species